rnacentral:rRNA from 1 species
CGGCGAACGGGUGAGUAACGCGUGGAUACCUGCCCUGAGGCGGGGGAUAACCCGGAGAAAUUCGGGCUAAUACCGCAUAUGACUGUGAGGUCAAAGGGGGCUCGCAAGGGCUCCCGCCAUAGGAGGGGUCCGCGUCCGAUUAGCUAGUUGGUAGGGUAAUGGCCUACCAAGGCGACGAUCGGUAGCCGGCCUGAGAGGGUGAUCGGCCACACUGGAACUGAGACACGGUCCAG